CGAACGGCUCAGUAACACGUAGUCAACCUGCCCUCGGGACGAGGAUAAUCUCGGGAAACUGAGGCUAAUACUCGAUAGAUCAAGAUUCCUGGAAUGGGUUUUGGUCUCAAAUGAGGUAACGACAUCUUCGUUACAUUUCGCCCGAGGAUGGGACUGCGGCCGAUCAGGCUGUUGGUGGGGUAAAGGCCCACCAAACCAGUAACCGGUACGGGCUUUGAGAGAAGGAGCCCGGAGAUGGACACUGAGACAAGGGUCCAGGUCCUACGGGGCGCAGCAGGCGCGAAACCUUCGCAAUGCGCGCAAGCGCGACGAGGUUAUUCCGAGUGAUUUCCGCUGAGGAAAUCUUUUCUCAGAUCUAAAAAGUCUGGGGAAUAAGGGGAGGGCAAGUCUGGUGUCAGCCGCCGCGGUAAUACCAGCUCCUCGAGUGGUCAGGGCGUUUAUUGGGCCUAAAGCAUCCGUAGCCUGCUCGGUAGGUCUCCUGUUAAAUCCAACGGCUCAACCGUUGGUCUGCAGGAGAUACCGCUGGGCUAGGAGGCGGGAGAGGCGGACGGUACUCCGAGGGUAGGGGUAAAAUCCUUUGAUCCCCGGAAGACCACCAGUGGCGAAGGCGGUCCGCCAGAACGCGCUCGACGGUGAGGGAUGAAAGCUGAGGGAGCGAACC
rnacentral:rRNA from 1 species